rnacentral:rRNA from 1 species
GAUGAACGCUGGCGGCGUGCCUAAUACAUGCAAGUCGAGCGAACAGACGAGGAGCUUGCUCCUCUGACGUUAGCGGCGGACGGGUGAGUAACACGUGGAUAACCCACCUAUAAGACUGGGAUAACUUCGGGAAACCGGAGCUAAUACCGGAUAAUAUAUUGAACCGCUUGGUUCAAUAGUGAAAGACGGUUUUGCUGUCACUUAUAGAUGGAUCCGCGCCGCAUUAGCUAGUUGGUAAGGUAACGGCUUACCAAGGCGACGAUGCGUAGCCGACCUGAGAGGGUGAUCGGCCACACUGGAACUGAGACACGGUCCAGACUCCUACGGGAGGCAGCAGUAGGGAAUCUUCCGCAAUGGGCGAAAGCCUGACGGAGCAACGCCGCGUGAGUGAUGAAGGUCUUCGGAUCGUAAAACUCUGUUAUUAGGGAAGAACAAAUGUGUAAGUAACUAUGCACGUCUUGACGGUACCUAAUCAGAAAGCCACGGCUAACUACGUG